rfam:Aedes aegypti strain Liverpool supercont1.291 genomic scaffold, whole genome shotgun sequence.
UGCCCAUAAACUCCUAUCCCUACCUCCUCGUGGUACUGGCCGGGGUACGAGUAACCUUGGGGAAGAUCGGGUAACUAAUUUCGGUGGGAGCUUUGGUCGUAUGCUGACAGGGAAGG